AUUGCUAUUUCAAUUGUAAGAUAAAGGUUUACUAUAAAAUCAAAUUCAAAUAUAUACUUAGGCUUACAACUACUCGAAAUCGAAAAUGUACUUUUUAUUGUCGAAACUACUGCGACUAAAUAUAUAAGUGAAAUAAAAUAUUAUAAAUAUUUAUAAGUGAAACGAAAUAAAAUGAUAUAGUCAAGAUAGAUAGCGAGUCGUGUUUUGUUGCGAUUGGUGCUCGGCAGUGACUUUAAAAAUCAUAUUUCAUCUGUGUAUUAUCAACAAUGCACACUUUUAUGUACAUUCUGUUGGCAGCAAUAAGCAGAACGUUUGCUAAAUGGCGACAUGAUUUCGGUUUGUUGGAAAAGCCUGCCAAAUACCGAUUUGUUAACAAUAUUCACGCGUUCGGGCAGAAGAUAACCCCUAUGCUGAGACCAUCAAGGACUACAUGUAGCUUUUACGCAAAAGUUUCGCGUGCUGUUUUAGACGUUUAUUUAAUUGAAUAAUAAUGCAGCAAAGUGAUAAUUGUCAAUAGAGUAGCAAGUAUGAGUUAUUCCUAUUUUAUCUAAAGUGUGCGACUUGAUUAGAAAAUGAAAGUACUUAGUGGCGGUGUGUUUCCCAAUGCAACAUACUUAGCUGCUCGCCAUUUUAAACUAUAUUAAGCUACUUAUUUAGAUGUUGUCAAUGCAAUUUGUUCAAAUAACUAUACUCGAUAAACGCGGUGGACUUUUUCACUUCACGGCCAACCAGAAGUUACAUUAUAUACACUAUUUCCUCUUUUUUCUCAUCAUUUAUCAGGCUACCGAUAACCUUUUUUCUCUAGAUGUGUGGUCUUGUAAAGAAUUCUAAUUAUUAAUGAGACCAGACAACCUUCCCCAUGUGAGUCUAAUAGGGAAUUCGACGAUUUCACUUUGCUUUAGGUUUUAGUAACGGAACUGGUGAAAUCCUUUAUUAUAGGUACCUACUCAUAUUAAUUUUCUGUUCUCUAAUAAUCUUAAACUAGAAUUUUUUUAAAUUCAUGUCAACAUUUUUUGCGUGGUAAUAAGACCAAUUUUGUGAGUAAUGGAACGAAACAUACACUACUUAACAAACAUUUAAAAUUCCGCAUACUGAUUUAUGCAAGUUAUUACAAAAUAGCUUUAGGAACUUAAUCGAUAAUCGAACCUUUGACAUUCUGAAUUGUUCUCUUGACCAGUAAAAUUAUUUGCCGUC